GCCACUGUAGCUCAGUUGGUAUAGCGUUGGAUGUGUUAUCCAAGGGUUGUAGGUUCGGUCCCUACCAGUGGCA